UCCUACGGGAGGCAGCAGUGGGGAAUAUUGGACAAUGGGCGCAAGCCUGAUCCAGCCAUACCGCGUGUGUGAAGAAGGCCUUCGGGUUGUAAAGCACUUUAAGCAGGGAGAAAAAGUUAUAAGUUAAUACCUUAUAACCGUGAUGUUACCUGCAGAAUAAGCACCGACUAAUUCCGUGCCAGCAGCCGCGGUAAU
rnacentral:rRNA from 1 species